rnacentral:rRNA from 1 species
AUGAAGCCUUAUCGGAGGUGGAAUUAAGUGGACGGAAGCAGGGGCAUUGGGCAAUCUGCCCUUCACUCUGGGACAAGCCCUGGAAACGGGGUCUAAUACCGGAUAACACUCUGUCCCGCAUGGGACGGGGUUAAAAGCUCCGGCGGUGAAGGAUGAGCCCGCGGCCUAUCAGCUUGUUGGUGGGGUAAUGGCCUACCAAGGCGACGACGGGUAGCCGGCCUGAGAGGGCGACCGGCCACACUGGGACUGAGACACGGCCCGAGGCAGCACGAAAGCCUGAUGCAGCGACGCCGCGUGAGGGAUGACGGCCUUCGGGUUGUAAACCUCUUUCAGCAGGGAAGAAGCGAAAGUGACGGUACCUGCAGAAGAAGCGCCGGCUAACUACGUGCCAGCAGCCGCGGUAAUAUGUAGGGCGCAAGCGUUGUCCGGAAUUAGCUCGUAGGCGGCUUGUCACGUCGGAUGUGAAUGCUCGGGGCUUAAAUUGGGCGUAAAGCCCCCGGGUCUGCAUUCGAUACGGGCUAGCUAGGGUGUGGUAGGGGAGAUCGGAAUUCCUGGUGUAGCGGUGAAAUGCGCAGAUAUCAGGAGGCACACCGGGUGGCCGAAAGCGGAUCUCGACCGCUGAGGGAGCGAAAGCGUGGGGGAGCGAACAGAUUAGAUACCUGGGCCCAUUACUUGGUAGUCACGCGUAAACGUUGGGAACUAGGUGAUGGCGACAUUCCACGUCGUCGUUGCCGCAGCUAACGCAUUAAGUUCCCCGCCUGGGGAGCACGGCCGCAAGGCUAAAACUCAAAGGAAUUGACGGGGGCCCGCACAAGCAGCGGAGCAUUUGGCUUAAUUCGACGCAACGCGAAGAACCUUACCAAGGCUUGACAUAUACCGGAAAGCAGCAGAGAUGGUGCCCCCCUUGUGGUCGGUAUACAGGUGGUGCAUGGCUGUCGUCAGCUCGGGUCGUGAGAUGUUGGGUUAAGUCCCGCAACGAGCGCAACCCUUGUUCUGUGUUGCCAGCCUGCCCUUCGGGGUGAUGGGGACUCACAGGAGACUGCCGGGGUCAACUCGGAGGACAAGUCAUCAUGCCCCUUAUGUCUUGGGCUGCACACGUGCUACAAUGGCCGGUACAAUGAGCUGCGAUGCCGCGAGGUCGACCCCAUGCGGAGCGAAUCUCAAAAAGCCGGUCUCAGUUCGGAUUGGGGUCUGCAACAAGUCGGAGUUGCUAGUAAUCGCAGAUCAGCAUUGCUGCGGUGAAUACGUUCCCGGGCCUUGUACACACCGCCCGUCACGUCACGAAAGUCGGUAACACCCGAUGUGGGAGGGAGCUGUCGAAGGUGGGACUGGCGAA